rnacentral:rRNA from 1 species
AGCUCCAAUAGCGUAUAUUAAAGUUGUUGCAGUUAAAAAGCUCGUAGUUGAAUUUCUGGUCAAUUUUAGUGCCGGCUUCGGUCGUGCUAAGGUUGGCCAUCCGUUUGCAAGCUAUUCUCGGCCUUCACUGGUUCGGAGUAGUGAGCUGACAUUUUACUUUGAAGAAAUUAGAGUGUUUCAGGCAGGCUUUUGCCCGAAUACAUUAGCAUGGAAUAAUGGAAUCGGACUUUGGUCCAUUUGAUUGGUUAUUGGAUCUGAGUAAUGGUUAAUAGGGACAGUUGGGGGCAUUAGUAUUUAAUUGUCAGAGGGGAAAUUCUUGGAUUUAUUAAAGACUAACUUAUGCGAAAGCAUUUGCCAAGGAUGUUU